UACAGAGGGUGCAAGCGUUAAUCGGAAUUACUGGGCGUAAAGCGUGUGUAGGUGGUUAGAUAAGUUAGAUGUGAAAUCCCCGGGCUUAACCUGGGCACUGCGUUUAAGACUGUUUAACUAGAGUGCUGUAGAGGGUAGUGGAAUUUCCAGUGUAGCGGUGAAAUGCGUAGAUAUUGGAAGGAACACCAGUGGCGAAGGCGACUACCUGGACAGACACUGACACUGAGACACGAAAGCGUGGGGAGCAAAC
rnacentral:rRNA from 2 species